rnacentral:tRNA from 1 species
UAUAGUUUAGUAUAAGAUGUACAUAAAUUUUUGAAAUUUAAAGUGAUAAUUUAAAUUUAUCUUCUAUAA